ensembl:lncRNA
CAUGCAUCGAACCUGGACUGGUGAUCUGUUUCACAUACGGCAAUAUACAUGUUUCAAUGCUAUUCUCUCAAACCAUCCCACCCUCGCCUUCUCCCACAGAGUCCAAAUGUCUGUUCUUCACAUCUGUGUCUCUUUUGCUGUCUUGCAGAUAAGGUCAUUGUUACCAUCUUUCUAAAUUCCAUAUAUAUGCGUUAAUACACUGUGUUUGUGUUUUUCCCCUGGUGGCUCAGAUGGUGAAGCGUCUGUCUACAAUGCGAGAGACCCAGGUUUGAUCCCUGGGUCGGGAAGAUCCCCUGGAGAAGGAAAUGGCAACCUGCUCCAGUAGUCUUGGCUGGAAAAUCCCAUGGAUGGAGAAGCAUGGUAGGCUAUAGUCCAUGGGGUUGCAAAGAGUUGGACACGACUGAGCCACUUCACUUUCCUUUCACUCUGUAUAAUAGGCUCCAGUUUCAUCCACCUCAUUAGAACUGAUUCAAAUGCUUUCUUUUUUAAUAGCUGAGUAAUACUCCAUUGUGUAUAUGUACCACAGCUUUCUUAUCCAUUCGUCUGCUGAUGGACAUCUAGGUUGCUUCCAUGUCCUAGCUAUUGUAAACAGUGUUUUGAUGAACAUUGGGGUACACGUGUCUCUUUCAAUUCUGGUUUCCUUAGUGUGUAUGCCUAGCAGUCGGAUUGCUGGGUCGUAUGGCAGUUUUAUUUUCAGUUUUUAAAGGAGUCUCCACACUGUUCUCCAUAGUGGCUGUACCAGUUUGCAUUCCCACCAACAGUGUAAGAGGGUUCCCUUUUCUCCACACCCUCUCCAGCAUUUAUUGUUUGUAGACUUUUUGAUAGCAGUCAUUCUGACCAGCGUGAGAUGGUACCUCAUUGUGGUUUUAAUUUGCAUUUCUCUGGUUUUAACAGCUAUAGGAACAGUGAUGGGAUGUUGCUUCUGUGACCAGGUUCCUGAAAGGCUCUGGCUUUUGUCUUGAGUUGCUCUCCUCUCUCUCUUGUUCUCUUGCUCUGAGGGAGGGCAGCUCUAUGAACAGACUCACGUGGAAGGAACUGAUAUCUCCAGCUAAUAGCCAGUGAGGACUUGAGGCUUGCCAACAGCUACAGGAAUGAGCUUGGAAGUAGAUAUUCUGAAAUCUACCAACAGUCAUGUGAGUGGACUUGGAAGUGGAUCUUUCCUCUCUUGACUGAAGCAUCCCAAGGCACUUAGACAGAUGCAGCAAGCUAAUCCACACCCAGGUUCCUGAUGCAUAGACGCUGAGAGAUAAAAACUGCCAAGUCUGUGGGUGAUUUGUUAGGCAGCAGUAGAUAACGAAUACAGCAUGAUGCUUCGCUCAAGAGAUAAAGCAUGCUUUGUAGGAGUACAGAGGGAACAGCGAUUAACUCUGCACGGAGAGGCUGGGCAAGGUUCCCCUGUGGAGAGAAUGAUCCUCCAGCUGGAGAAGAUGGGCAUAGAUAACUGGUGGUGGUCCAUCCUCCCCGACCUCUCUCUUUUAUCACUACUGCACAACCUCCCAGCUCCUCCCGAGAGUUCUCACCUGACAAAGUACCUGGGCCCUGCCAUUCCAUAGAUCUGGACUAACGCGCCACUGGUAAUGGACUAAGAAGGAUACUUCUCUCCUCGCAUCUCUCUUUCAGCCACAGUGGGCUGGCCCUCUCCUGGCUAUCUCAAUUGGGUCCCAAUCCUGGCUGUUUUUGCCCCAGAAGGGGCCUCAGACAUUUCAUCUUUCAUUUUCAAAGUCUGCUCCCGCAUAGCUCCGCAUGUCUCCCUGUGCCCUCCUCAAUUAAAAAUGACACAAAAGUAAAGGAGACACAUAACUCUUUGAAAAGCCUUCCAGAUCCAAACUUUUUAAUGAAGACAGAAUAUAAAGAGCCUGUCUUAUCUCUCCGAUGCGACUCCCAUGUGCUGUAAUCAAGCGGAAUUAAUUAAAAGCAAUCAAGUGGUGAGUUGGCAUGGGGGCCUGCGGCACCAGUCUUUCAUCUCAGCCACAUGAGUCCUCUCCCUGAGGGGUGGGGCUGCGGGCAGCAGAGAGGGCUGGGCCCAGUGCUGGGAGGGAAACCAGUUCACCCAACAAGCUUGAGUUGCCAGGGCAUGGCCAGUGCUGAUGGAAAGAGUUGGAUCCGACUCACAGAAGCAUUUCUGCGUUGUUCUGGGUGAAGAGUCCAGACUAGAUUCUCAACCUUGCAGGCUAUGGAUAUAUGGGGUUGGAUACUUCUUUGUGGUGGGGGCUGUGCUGCGUAUUGUAGGGUGCUCUACCCAUUAGAUGCCACUUGCACCUCCCUAGCUGUGAAAACCAAGAAUAUCUCUAAACACUAUCAAAAGUCUGGAGUGGGGUGGGGAGAGCAAAACUCCCCCCGGUUGAGACCCACUGGUCCAGUUAGAGUUCCUGUCAGUAAAAGUGCAUUGUGUCAGAUGAACAAGAACAUUUCUCAGUCACUGGGGACCCUGGGGGCACUAGGGCAGCUAAAUGAUGACCUCUGGCUUGCAGUCACUUGGGAAAUUCUCUUAUCUGGGAGAGGUACAAGAGCCAGCUGCAUGGAGGCCGGCAGUGUGGAUCCUUGAGUCUAAAGAGGGCUGAUUCCCAUUAAGACUGAAAUAAGAUGCAGGAAAUCUCUCCCACUGGCAAUUAUUUUGUAUUUACACACUCUUCCUAAUGUCAGUCAUCUUCCAAUACUGCAAUAUCGCCCAAUACUCAGCAGUGGAUAGAGGGUGGUGAGGUCGUGGAGAUAGAACAUCAGGGGACUUUCAUGCCUAAUUUGCUGAUGUUGGUUCUCAGUGGUCCCCUUCUGUCUCUGCUUACAAACAUCUCAUGGGAUCUUGGGAUUUUGGGCACCCAUACACCUGAAAGAUAUGAGCUUUGCUAGACUUUUUUUUUUGACACCAAGGGUAUGACCUGGACAGUCCCUUCUUGGUCCAACGAGUAAAUUAAGUGAAUGAAAUCAUAUCCUAUGUAAGAACCACAAGGGAAGAGAAAAGCAUGUUAAGGUACCAAGGGAGUGCAAGCUUUCACCCAGUGGCCUGGUUUAUUAGAUAAAGAAAACAGAGAAUUGAAACAUUGCUUAAUGCAGGAUGGCAAGGGCUGCAGCAUUGCCUGCUCAUAAAGCACAAAGGAGGAGGGGUUUUCACCUGAGCUUGUUUGGUACUGCUUACGUGGAGCCCAUUAUAACUCCCCACUUCGCAUUGAUUAUCUAUCUUUUUAAGCCUUUCCAUCAGAUUGGAUGCUUGCAGGAUGGGGGAGGUUUAAGACCAUCUUUCUUAGAGAGGGGCAGAAGGAAUAGGUGACUGAGAGAGUCAAUUCCUAGGUAUGUUGAUAAGAAGUCCAAGGUCCCCAAGGAGGAGGAAGGGGUCAAGAGCCCUUGAGGCAGAGAAAGGGAUCUGGGGUUCUCAAGGAGGAGAAAAAGACAAACUUUUUUUUUUUUUUUUUAAGCCCAGAGCUGAUUGCACAACAAAACAACUCAUCUUGCUCAAGGAUAUGUUUUCCCUUAAACUCUGUACCAAUGACAACAAGGCAUCCUGCUUGAGGACAUGUCUCUCCUUCUUGAGAACCUUCUGACUAAUCCUGUCAUCUUAAAAUGUAUAUUAUGGGAGUGGGUCUGGACUGAUGUUGAAGCUGAAACUCCAAUCCUUUGGCCACCUGGUGCGAAGAGCUGACUCACUGGAAAAGACCCUGAUACUGGGAAAGAUUGAGGGCAGGAGGAGAAGGGGAUGACAGAGGAUGAGAUGGCUGGAUGGCAUCACUGAC